rnacentral:rRNA from 1 species
GNNNNNGGCAGCUACACAUGCAGUCGAGCGCAGGAAUCGACUGGCCCCUUCUGGGGGAAGUCGACGGAAUGAGCGGCGGACGGGUGAGUAACGCGUAAGGAACCUGCCCUCAGGUCUGGGAUAACCACGAGAAAUCGGGGCUAAUACCGGAUGGGUCAUCGGACCGCAUGGUCCGAGGAUGAAAGGCGCUUCGGCGUCGCCUGGGGAUGGCUUUGCGGUGCAUUACCUAGUUGGUGGGGUAAUGGCCCACCAAGGCGACGAUGCAUAGCCCACCUGAUAGGGUGAUCGGCCACCCUGGGACUGAGACACGGCCCAGACUCCUACGGGAGGGAGCAGUAGGGAAUCUUCCACAAUGGACGAAAGUCUGAUGGAGCAACGCCGCGUGAACGAUGAAGGCCUUCGGGUCGUAAAGUUCUGUUGUAAGGGAAGAACAAGUGCCGCACGCAAUGGCGGCACCUUGACGGUACCUUGCGAGAAAGCCACGGCUAACUACGUGCCAGCAGCCGCGGUAAUACGUAGGUGGCAAGCGUUGUCCGGAAUUAUUGGGCGUAAAGCGCGCGCAGGCGGCCUCUUAAGUCUGAUGUGAAAGCCCCCGGCUCAGCCGGGGAGGGCCAUUGGAAACUGGGAGGCUUGAGUAUGGGAGAGAAGAGUGGAAUUCCACGUGUAACGGUGAAAUGCGUACAGAUGUGAAGGAACACCAGUGGCGAGAGCGACUCUUUGGCCUAUAACUGACGCUGAGGCGCGAAAGCGUGGUGAGCAAACAGGAUUAGAUACCCUGGUAGUCCACGCCGUAAACGAUGAGUGCUANGUGUUGGAGGGUUUCCGCCCUUCAGUGCUGAAGCUAACGCAUUAAGCACUCCGCCUGGGGAGUACGGUCGCAAGGCUGACACUCAAGGAAUUGACGGGGACCCGCACUAGCAGUGGAGCAUGAUGGAUCUAAUUCGAAGCAA